GGCCGCCCCUUCUCACCGACGAUGAGGAGCAUUGUGACUGUCUGCACCAUGGCCGCCCCUUCUCACCAACGAUGAGGAGCAUUGUGACUGACUGCACCGUGGCCACCCCUUCUCACCAACGAUGAGGAGCACUGCGACUGUCUGCACCAUGGCCGCCCCUUCUCCCCAACGAUGAGGAACAUUGUGACUGUCUGCACCGUGGCCGCCCCUUCUCACCGAUGCUGAGGAGCACUGUGACUGUCUGCACCGUGGCCGCCCCUUCUCACCAACGAUGAGGAGCACUGCGACUGUCUGCACCGUGGCCGCCCCUUCUCACCAACGACGAAGAGCAUCGCGG
rnacentral:lncRNA from 1 species